AUUGAACGCUGGCGGCAUGCCUUACACAUGCAAGUCGAACGGCAGCACGGAGCUUGCUCUGGUGGCGAGUGGCGAACGGGUGAGUAAUAUAUCGGAACGUACCCUAGAGUGGGGGAUAACGUAGCGAAAGUUACGCUAAUACCGCAUACGAUCUAAGGAUGAAAGUGGGGGAUCGCAAGACCUCAUGCUCGUGGAGCGGCCGAUAUCUGAUUAGCUAGUUGGUAGGGUAAAAGCCUACCAAGGCAUCGAUCAGUAGCUGGUCUGAGAGGACGACCAGCCACACUGGAACUGAGACACGGUCCAGACUCCUACGGGAGGCAGCAGUGGGGAAUUUUGGACAAUGGGCGAAAGCCUGAUCCAGCAAUGCCGCGUGAGUGAAGAAGGCCUUCGGGUUGUAAAGCUCUUUUGUCAGGGAAGAAACGGUGGGAGCUAAUAUCUCUUGCUAAUGACGGUACCUGAAGAAUAAGCACCGGCUAACUACGUGCCAGCAGCCGCGGUAAUACGUAGGGUGCAAGCGUUAAUCGGAAUUACUGGGCGUAAAGCGUGCGCAGGCGGUUUUGUAAGUCUGAUGUGAAAUCCCCGGGCUCAACCUGGGAAUUGCAUUGGAGACUGCAAGGCUAGAAUCUGGCAGAGGGGGGUAGAAUUCCACGUGUAGCAGUGAAAUGCGUAGAUAUGUGGAGGAACACCGAUGGCGAAGGCAGCCCCCUGGGUCAAGAUUGACGCUCAUGCACGAAAGCGUGGGGAGCAAACAGGAUUAGAUACCCUGGUAGUCCACGCCCUAAACGAUGUCUACUAGUUGUCGGGUCUUAAUUGACUUGGUAACGCAGCUAACGCGUGAAGUAGACCGCCUGGGGAGUACGGUCGCAAGAUUAAAACUCAAAGGAAUUGACGGGGACCCGCACAAGCGGUGGAUGAUGUGGAUUAAUUCGAUGCAACGCGAAAAACCUUACCUACCCUUGACAUGGCUGGAAUCCUUGAGAGAUCAGGGAGUGCUCGAAAGAGAACCAGUACACAGGUGCUGCAUGGCUGUCGUCAGCUCGUGUCGUGAGAUGUUGGGUUAAGUCCCGCAACGAGCGCAACCCUUGUCAUCAGUUGCUACGAAAGGGCACUCUAAUGAGACUGCCGGUGACAAACCGGAGGAAGGUGGGGAUGACGUCAAGUCCUCAUGGCCCUUAUGGGUAGGGCUUCACACGUCAUACAAUGGUACAUACAGAGCGCCGCCAACCCGCGAGGGGGAGCUAAUCGCAGAAAGUGUAUCGUAGUCCGGAUUGUAGUCUGCAACUCGACUGCAUGAAGUUGGAAUCGCUAGUAAUCGCGGAUCAGCAUGUCGCGGUGAAUACGUUCCCGGGUCU
rnacentral:rRNA from 1 species